rnacentral:tRNA from 1 species
GGGCCAAUAGCUCAUUGGUAGAAGCACUCGGCUCAUAACCGAAAGGAAGUAGGCUCGAACCCUACUUGGCCCACCA